GAUGAACGCUGGCGGCGUGCCUAAUACAUGCAAGUCGAGCGAACGGACGAGAAGCUUGCUUCUCUGAUGUUAGCGGCGGACGGGUGAGUAACACGUGGAUAACCUACCUAUAAGACUGGGAUAACUUCGGGAAACCGGAGAUAAUACCGGAUAAUAUUUUGAACCGCAUGGUUCAAAAGUGAAAGACGGUCUUGCCGUCACUAAAAGAUGGAUCCGCGCUGCAUUAGCUAGUUGGUAAGGUAACGGCUUACCAAGGCAACGAUGCAUAGCCGACCUGAGAGGGUGACCGGCCACACGGGAACGGAGACACGGUCCAGACUCCUACGGGAGGCAGCAGUGGGGAAUCUUCCGCAAUGGGCGAAAGCCUGACGGAGCAACGCCGCGUGAGUGAUGAAGGUCUUCGGAUCUUAAAACUCUGUUAUUAGGGAAGAACAUAUGUGUAAGUAACUGUGCACAUCUUGACGGUACCUAAUCAGAAAGCCACGGCUAACUACGUG
rnacentral:rRNA from 1 species